ACUUAGAUAGCUUAAGUAGAGCGUGAUAUUGAAGAUAUCAAGGUAACAUGUAUUGUUUUUAGGUA
rnacentral:tRNA from 1 species